UGGCGGACGGGUGAGUAAUGCUUGGGAAUCUGCCCAAUAGUGGGGGACAACACGGGGAAACUCGUGCUAAUACCGCAUACGUCCUACGGGAGAAAGUGGGGGAUCUUCGGACCUCACGCUAUUGGAUGAGCCCAAGUCGGAUUAGCUUGUUGGUGGGGUAAAGGCCUACCAAGGCGACGAUCCGUAGCUGGUCUGAGAGGACGAUCAGCCACACUGGGACUGAGACACGGCCCAGACUCCUACGGGAGGCAGCAGUGGGGAAUAUUGGACAAUGGGCGCAAGCCUGAUCCAGCAAUGCCGCGUGUGUGAAGAAGGCCUGCGGGUUGUAAAGCACUUUCAGUAGAGAAGAAGUGUCCAGGGUUAAUAACCUUGGGCCUUGACGUAACCUACAGAAGAAGCACCGGCUAACUCCGUGCCAGCAGCCGCGGUAAUACGGAGGGUGCGAGCGUUAAUCGGAAUUACUGGGCGUAAAGCGCGCGUAGGCGGCUAAGUCAGUCGAUUGUGAAAGCCCUGGGCUUAACCUGGGAAUUGCACUCGAUACUGCUUGGCUAGAAUAUGGGAGAGGGAAGUGGAAUUUCCGGUGUAGCGGUGAAAUGCGUAGAUAUCGGAAGGAACACCAGUGGCGAAGGCGACUUCCUGGCCCAAUAUUGACGCUGAGGUGCGAAAGCGUGGGUAGCGAACAGGAUUAGAUACCCUGGUAGUCCACGCCGUAAACGAUGAGAACUAGAUGUCGGGAGGGUUUACCUUUCGGUGUCGCAGCUAACGCAUUAAGUUCUCCGCCUGGGGAGUACGCCGGCAACGGUAAAACUCAAAGGAAUUGACGG
rnacentral:rRNA from 1 species